CGCGAUGGGACUGAGAUACGGCCCAUACUCCUACGGGAGGCAGCAGUGGGGAAUCUUGCACAAUGGACGAAAGUCUGAUGCAGCGAUCCCGCGUGAAGGAUGAAGCAUUACGGUGUGUAAACUUCUUUUUUGGUGGAAGACGAAUGACGGUACACCAAGAAUAAGAGACGGCUAACUACGUGCCAGCAGCCGCGGUAAUACGUAGGUCUCAAGCGUUAUCCGGAUUUACUGGGCGUAAAGUAUCCGUAGCCUGAUAUGUAAGUCUGUUUUCAAAUCCCACGACUCAAUCGUGGAAAGGGAAUGGAUACUGCAUAUCUAGAAGUUAUUGGGGGUUAGUGGAAUUUCCGGUGGAGCGGUGAAAUGCGUUGAUAUCGGAAAGAACGCCGAAAGCGAAAGCAGCUAACUAUGAUUAACUUGACGGUGAGGGAUGAAAGUUUGGGUAGCAAACGGGAUUAGAUACCCCGGUAGUCCAAACUGUAAAUUAUGCUUGCUAGGUGUUUCGAUCCUUGUGGUCGGAGUGCCGUAAUCUAACGAGUUAAGCAAGUCGCCUGGGUAGUAUAUUCGCAAGAAUGAAACUCAAAGGGAUAGGCGGGGGAACACACAAGCAGUGGAUUAUCUAGAUUAAUUGGAUAAUAAGCCAAGAAUCUUACCUAGAAUUGACAUGCAAUGUGUCUCAUAUGAAAGUAUGAUAUUUGUAGCAAUACAGAGCUUUGUACAGGUGGUGCAUGGUCGUCGUCAGCUCGUGCCGCAAGGUGUCUAGUUAAGUCUGGAAACGAGCGCAACCCUCAUCGUUAGUUAGUAUGUCUAACGAGACUGCCUGGGUAACCAGGAGGAAGGAGAGGAUGACGUCAGAUCCUCAUGCCCCUUACAUCUAGGGCCUCAUAGAUAAUACAAUGGGUAGCAACAACGAGAAGCAAUAUCGCGAGAUGGAGCAAAUCUUCAAACCUACCCCUAGUUCGGAUUGUAGUCUGGAACUCGACUACAUGAAGUUGGAAUUGCUAGUAAUGGCAGGUCAGCCAUACUGCCGUGAAUAUGUCCCUGUUCCUUGCACUCACCGCCCGUCAAACCAUGGGAGCUGAGGUUCUCUGAAGACUUACCAUGUGGGUUAAGGAGAAAAUCAGUGACUGGGGUUAAGUCGUAACAAGGCAUCCCUACGGGAACGUGGGGAUA
rnacentral:rRNA from 1 species